rnacentral:lncRNA from 1 species
GCCCUCUUGUCCUCCAAAGGGACACGUGAAUCUCUUUUCAAGUGUGCGUUUACCAUGAUGACGGUGUACUAAGAGGCUGCUAUUCUCAAAAGGUCUGUGUGAACUGCUUUCCAGCUGAAUUCCACGGAUGUUUGCUUGUGAACACCAGGGUCCCUCUUCCUUCUGGACCACGAAACAAUUCCUGGAAGGUUCUGGCGGCAGGUGGCAUUUCAGUAAACGACUGUGUUCGUGCCCCAGGAUUGUCGUAACAAACGACCUCAGCUUGAGAGUCUUGAUAUAAAUGCCUUCUGUCACGGCCAGGAGGUCACCAGGCUGGAGGCCAGGUGUGGGCGGGGCUGGCUUCUCCUGGAGCCGCUGACGGAGAGUCCCCCCAGGGCCCUCCUCACCCAGGGGUGGCCGGCAGGCCUCGGCUUAUGAGGGCAUCGCUCCCAUCUCUGCUCCACGGCCGCCCGGGCCCCUCCUCCCCGAGCGCGUCUCUGCGUCUCUUCCAGGGAUGCCAGCCACAGUGAGUUAAAGGACCCCUGCUCAGGUGGGCCCACAUCCUAGCUAAUUACAUCUAUGUCCAAAGAAGGUCACAUUCUGAGGUGAAUUUAGGGAGACAUUAUCCUUCACGGUGUAACAGCAAAUGUCAUAUUUCCGUUAAGUUCCAAGCCUGCGGCCUUGUUUCCACAGGAGGGAGCAGGCAGGGUGGAAGGGUGGGGACUCCCCUGCUCACAGGGUCUCCUCCAGCUGGUCCCCUGGGGCCUGAGUUGUGUGUACCCAGCCAAUUUACUGUCUGGGUGGGGCCCAGAAGUCCUUCUACUGAACAGAUUGCUCAGAAAAGUCUUAUCCUCAGAGGAGUGUGAGAAGCACUCAGAGGUGCUGUUGAUUGGAAGAAAUCCUGCCGACGUCUGAGUAAACGAAGACUUCCAGCGAGAAGAGAUGGAACCGGUGCACGCAUCAGACUCAGUCCUUUCAGGGGCAGGAGAACAGGACACCUGGGCAUUUACCUGGGCACAUCUCUCUCCAGCCCAUGAGGAGCCACCCAGGAAGGGCCGUGAGGGCAGGCUCUGGGGCAAGGCCGCCUGCAUCCGACCCGCACCUCUGCACCUCGCCACCAAGCAGCUGUGGCCUCGGGCACACCAUCUCCACACGCCUCCGUUUUCUCACCUGGAAAAUGGUGAUAACGGCUCAUUUCUUGUGUUGUUUUUGAGAGAGUUGAAGGAAUUAAGGGCUUCCCUCAUGGCUCAGACGGUGAAGAAUCUGCCUGCAAUGUGCAAGAUGUCUGUGCCACUCCUGGGUCGGGAAGAUCCUCCAGAGAAUUCCGUGGACAGAGGAGCUUGGUGGCUCACAGUCCGCGGGGUCGCAAAGACUCAACUGACACUUUCACACUUUCACUUUCAAAGGAAUUAAAACACAUUUCUCGGACCAGGGUCGUUAUUUGUCCUUUUCAAUAACUGUUGGAUAAUUCUGUUAUUCCACACCCCUAACCCACUCCAGUGUUCUUGCCUAGAGAAUCCCAGGGACCGGGGAGCCUGGUGGGCUGCCAUCUAGAGGGUUGCACAGAAUUGGACAUGACUGAAGCGACUUAGUAGCAGCAGCAGCAGGCGUGUGGACCUCUGGUUUGGAUUUAUGAUUUAACCUGUUCACUCCCAGCGCUAAGUUGAUUAAAUGUGACUCAUUACAGAAUGGAGGCGGCAGCACCCGGUGGCUCCAACACAGGCCUGUCACCCAUUCCGAGACCAGGCGAGCACCGCCUUCCUGACGGGAGAAGAAACCCUGCAGCCACCAUGUCUCCAAAGACACAGCUUUCUCCCCUUUUCAUCCAGCACGGCACAUCAGGAUGGAAAACAGCGGGCCC